rnacentral:misc_RNA from 1 species
CUGUUUAUUGAUGACUUAUUGAGAUAUUAAUUUUACUCGCUGGCAGCUUCGCGUCACCCAGCAAAAAAAUAAACAAACGUUAAGUUGUCACAUUCGAUCAAAAUUAUAACCGAAAGCAAUAAAAUACAAUUUGUAAUUAAAAUCCGUAUUGGUCAUGUCUCAGUAACAAUUUGAAGUAUAAAGUGUAAUUUUAUCGCAGGUGCUAAAAUGUACCUGUCCCUUUAAGUAUCAAUAGUAGGUGAAGUGCAAAUCAGCAGUAUGAACGACUUUACCCAGCUGGAGAAGACGAUAGUGCGGGAGUUGUCAUGUCGGUUGUGUCUUUGUACGGACGUGGUGAAGCUUAAACCGCUCAGCGUGGAACUUAAGCGGAAGAUCAAGCGACUUUACGGCGUUGUUAUACGAUCGGAUGACACUCUCCCAAAAGCAAUUUGCCAUGACUGCUUACAACUAGUUGGCAUUCAACACUUAUUUGCUGUUAAAGUUGAGAAAACUCAAAAGUUUUUGGAAUUUCGAAAAAAUAAGCUAGCUGAAAAGGCUCACAAACAAAAUACAGAAACAGUAACACACACAGUACAGGCCAAUAAUUUAAACCAAAACGCAUUAGACACCGAAAAAAAGCAAAAAUCAAAGGGAGACGCCCCAUCGGAAUCAGCGCAACACCAAGGUGACUCAAAUAAAGUGAAAACUCUCAAAAAGAAAACACCUCUCGAAAUGAAAUUCAUGGAAUCCAUGCCUUUAGAAGAAUUCGUGCGAACUGAAAACGUCGAUGAAUCAUUACUCAGUAGUACAACAACUGCAAACAGACCGGUGGAAAAAGUCAAAUCGGGUAAAAGGGAUGCUAUUAAAGAUAUAGAGGACAGUACCACAGACGUAUUAGAUCCUAUAGUAAUCGUGGAUGGUCGGCCUGCCAAACAAGGAGCCGCCUUAGACAGGCAAAUAACACUAUUCUACAAGAUGGAAUGCUGUAUAUGCCACCAAAAUGACUUCAAUUAUAGGUCGCUAAUGAAACAUUAUAAAGAAAGACAUGGGGUGCCGGGCUACGUGGAGUGUUGUGACAAAAAGUUUCAUUAUUUCUGCCCUAAGAAGAUUAUCGAGCACAUGGCGUAUCAUCUUCAACCAAACAUAUUCAUGUGCAGCAGCUGCCAUACCAACUUCCAAUCAUCGCAAGAGUUGAUCGAACACCAGAACAACGGCGGCCGGUCGGAGGGCAAGAUCCUGUGCCCGCGAUGUCAGGAGCGGUACCCUACUUACCACGAGCUCGGCUGCCAUAUCAUCUCGCAUCGGGAGGCCAAUAAGCUGCAGUGCGAUUAUUGUGGGAAACUGAAAGUUUUGUAAAGACUGCCAGAAGACAGUGGACAAAAAAAUAUUGGUACCAUGAAAUAUAUACUGCUAAAAAUCAUAGACCAACUAACGUUAUGAUUGAAACACCACCACCGAAAGAAGACCGUAAAUCACAUGGAAGACGUCAUACUUUGUUCCACAUGUAUCCGAUCAUUGAGAAAUAUUGAGAAACAAGAGAAAGAAAUC